rnacentral:lncRNA from 1 species
AUGCUGACCAGCCCUAUGGAAAGGGCAGGGGCACAGCUCUCAUGGACAGCUGGCUACCCAGAGAUUCUCUCACGCGUCUCUCCACCUCGGCUCUCGGUCUUGGGCUGUAAGAAGAAGAGCUAUUUGCUGAGUCACCAGCAGAAAAGCCAUUUUGCUGAGUCACCCAGAAGAGCAAUUUUGCUGAGUCACCCAACAGCUGGGAUGGUUUCCCAAGCUUCCUCAAGCUCCCCGAGCCCCUGCUUAGUUCCACUUUUAGUGCCCAGCAGCUCCCUGGAGCCUCAGCUCCAUUCGUGCCCGGCCACCAGUGCCCUGUGCAUCCUGGGGCUGGUGGCUUCGCCUCUUUCAGCCUCAGGUACCUCACCUGCCCAGUGGGAACUGCCAGGUCGCAGGAAGCCAGGGCCAUCAGUGACUUGCUUGCUGUGUUAUCUCUGGGCCUACAGUGGAGUCAGGACCUGGUGCUCAGAAGGCACCUGGCCAGACCACAUCCCCUCUCCCCUGCUCCUUACCCGAGGGACCUUCCAGAUUACCAGUGGUCAGUCCCCUUCACACCCUCACUCCACUUCCCCUCUGCAGCCAGAUGGGUCUUUCUUCUGGGGCUCCUAUUGUCCCUGGGACAAAGUCCAGAUGUCUCCACGUGGCCUGCAUGGCCCUUGGAGGGACUCCCACUCGUCUCCCCAGGCUCCUCCCUCCCCACACUCCCGUGCUCCAGUUGCACACUCUCCUUCGUGUUUCAGGAACCUCCCUGAUCCUUCCCUGCCUCUGUGCCUUUGCCCAUUCCCUCUGAACUGGAGUGCCUUCCUUGUCUGCGUGAUGCGCACCUUCUCCUCAAAUCCCUCAACAGCACCCAGGGAAACAGUGCUGGAGCGCCCCUGCUGGCUUGCACUAGCUCUGAUGAGAAGGGGAAAUGACCUCAACCCAAGGUGGAAGCCAAGGAGGGGCCAGGCAGGGCCAGCCGCCUCCCCACGCCGAUGUGGCCCUGGGCACAUUCCUGAGCAGGUGGAAGCAAAUUUGGCUCAGAACCAGCAUCCAGGCACCCUGCCAGGCCCAAGACACAGAAAAUGCACGAGGUCUGAGCUCUCGGAGAACCUCGGGGGAGGUCUCGCUGCCUGCCGUCUCCUGUCCACGCCAUCACAGCGCGAGCGCUCCUGCCUGGCCCUGAGACCUCACCGCCUUGGGCUGCGAUUCACGCAGGCUGCUGCACCUGCCAACAGUUCAUGCCUCCCCUCGCCGAGCGGUAGCCCAUCGUGGCCCCCACGUCGCGUCCUGGAGCCAGCGAUGAGACCGAAGCUGAGCGUAAACAGCAUGGGCUUACCCAGCUCCAAGGCGUGGAGCAGCGGGGCCCAGCUAGGGCGUCCACUUCUCCACCUGCUGGGCCGCGGAGCCCCGGAUAUGGGGCCGCAGGGAUGA